AAGUGGAUUUUGUGACGAGCGGAUUUACAAUGAGGGAAUGCUGUGAACGGGAAAAAUGAUGAGCUGUCCUAACUUGCCCAGACAUGCCAUGAUGACGUCACAGCUGACGUCACAGGAUGUCCGGAACUGGUGCUGCGAUGCUUUGCAACCUGCCUCCGUGCUCCGUCGCGGCAUCGUUGAUUUUCGAAUAAAUUGUUUCUCUCCACUC